rnacentral:misc_RNA from 1 species
CUGAGUUUUCAACUCUCCCAAACCAUGUGAACUGUACCACUGUUGCCUCGGUGGUUUGGGUAUUCGGGCCUGACCACCGGCGGGACUACUAAACUCUGUUAAUUUGUGGCAUUCUGAAUCAUAACUAAGAAAUAAGUUAA